CAAUAGCGUAUAUUAAAGUUGUUGCGGUUAAAAAGCUCGUAGUUGGAUUUCAGCCAAGGACGACCGGUCCUGCUUCGCGUAGGUACCUGGUUUGGCCGAGGCUUCUCUUGGUGUGAGUGUACGCGAUUGAAACCGCUGCAUGAGCUCCAGGGCGUUUACUUUGAGGAAAUUAGAGUGUUUCAAGCAGGCGUCUGCCUUGAAUACGUUAGCAUAGAAUAAUAAUAUAGGAUCUUGGUUCUAUUUUGUUGGUUUCUAGGGCUAAGGUAAUGAUUAAUAGGGAUAAUUGGGGGCAUUUGUAUUAACGCGUCAGAGGUGGAAUUCUUGGAUUGCGUUACGACAAACUACUGCGAAAGCAUUUGCCAAGGAUGUUUUCAUUGA
rnacentral:rRNA from 1 species